UAAACAUGCAGUCGAGGGGUAUAUUUCUUCGGAGAUAGAGACCGGCGCACGGGUGCGUAACGCGUAUGCAAUCUACCUUUUACAGAGGGAUAGCCCAGAGAAAUUUGGAUUAAUACCUCAUAGUAUAGCUGGACCGCAUGGAACUACUAUUAAAGUCACAACGGUAAAAGAUGAGCAUGCGUCCCAUUAGCUAGUUGGUAAGGUAACGGCUUACCAAGGCUACGAUGGGUAGGGGUCCUGAGAGGGAGAUCCCCCACACUGGUACUGAGACACGGACCAGACUCCUACGGGAGGCAGCAGUGAGGAAUAUUGGACAAUGGGCGCAAGCCUGAUCCAGCCAUGCCGCGUGCAGGAUGACGGUCCUAUGGAUUGUAAACUGCUUUUAUACGAGAAGAAACACUGCUUCGUGAAGCAGCUUGACGGUAUCGUAAGAAUAAGGAUCGGCUAACUCCGUGCCAGCAGCCGCGGUAAUACGGAGGAUCCAAGCGUUAUCCGGAAUCAUUGGGUUUAAAGGGUCCGUAGGCGGUUUAAUAAGUCAGUUGGUGAAAGCCCAUCGCUCAACGGUGGAACGGCCAUUGAUACUGUUAGACUUGAAUUAUUAGGAAGUAACUAGAAUAUGUAGUGUACCGGUGAAAUGCUUAAAGAUUACAUGGAAUACCGAUUGCGAAGGCUGGUUACUACUAAUGGGAUUGACGCUGAUGGAGGAAAGGG
rnacentral:rRNA from 1 species